rnacentral:rRNA from 1 species
AUUCUGAUAUUUAUGUGAGAACAGAUUCGAGUUAAGCAUGACCUAGGGGGGCCGUCUGGUGGACUGGGCACGCUCGCUCUACCGGCGGUCUUCCGUGCGGCCCUCGUCGAGGCCAAGGUGAAGCCGCUUGGAUUCGUACUUCGACGACCACCUCCACCUGUCUGCGCCGUGCGGGUCCGCGCACCACAUGCGGCUCCGACCGUUCCUGCAGCAGCUGAAGGAGGAGUGGAAGGAGUGGAACGGCUAGCCGUGCCAGCAGUUCGACGAGGCCUCCUUGAGGUACGGGUACCAUCCGACGCAGCCGUUGGACAUGCCGUCGCAGCUCUUCGAGGGGCUGCUGAAGUAGACGGUGUCCCUGCGAUCCCGGCGGUUCCUGUGCGACGAGUCCGGGCGGCCGCCGUCCGAAGGGGACGAGUGGUUGCGCCCCAGCAGGUCGUGGCCGCCGAAACACUCCCGCCCGCACUGGAUGUGCCAGUACCUGCUGGAGCUCCAACGAGGGUCCAGAUUGCAGCUAAAGUAGUGGUCGGAGUUGUUUAUACCAUAGUCCCUGUAGUCGACAGAGGUGCCCUUCCUACAGGUUCAACCGGUGUGGCUCCCAGAGGUCUAUGACUCCCGCAGUGAGUUCAGCUUCUGCCAGGAGUGGCUGCAGAAGGAAGCCUGCUUGUGAGGCUCAGGCUCAGGCUCCCGGAAUUGGCGUCCCACUUCACAGGAGCGGCACAGUAGGAACACCACGCACGUACACACAGAAAACCAGUAUACCAAGCACCGGAAGCCGUAGGAACUGACUUCGAGUGAAGAACUUGGGUGCUUUGGACACAACCAGUGACCAAGUGCCGAGUGUAUGAUACUUAUUUCCGUUCCUCAAUAUAGUAGUCCACAGAGAAGUAAUUAAUCUACUAAAAAUUGUUCAGAGUUAGCGUGGUUGAUAGGAAGAGAGGUCCAGUGUGGUAUAUCAUCACGUUAAUUAAUAUCAUGAACCAUUAUUUCCUACGGAAACUCUAAACAAAAACUUUCUUGAUCACUGUCGUUUUGCUGUGAGAGGCCCUUGUCCUAGGCCGGAACAUAGUGUAACAUACGCUAUGCUUACUAUGAAAAUGUGUUCAUGAGUUGAGGAAAGGGCGGCCUAUGUAGGAAACGCGUCGUCAACCAGCCGG